GUUACCCAGGAUGAAGAUGGGUCUUUGAAGUGGGAAAGUGUGAGUCAGGGCCCAGAGUAAGCACUGGGAAGUGGAGGGAGAGCAUGAAAGAGCCUCAGAGAGCAAGAAAAGUCCCAACGUGCAGAGCAAAUGGCACUCAGCCCCUCUGGUCAUGAGGAAGAGUCACUGCAUUGUACAAACACGUACAAAAGGAGGACUCAGUCAUUCCCAAGAAAUCAUUUAGUCAACCCAGAGAUGAAGUCCCACACCAGGAGUAUCCGCGGAGUCUCAGAUGCCACCUGGAAAAGGAUGCUCCGAUUAGAGUGGAUGUGUGUUCAACGUCAGGUGUCAGGAGACAGCCCAGGUCAGGUGUUGGAGCAGUGGCGAGAAGGGAUCCUGUGGCCUUGCAAAUCCAGCUCCCAUUUUCCAAGAAACAGAAAGAGGAAUAAAAUGAAUAAGCGGCACAUGCCAGCAUGUAACAUAAGGGAUACGCCCUAAGGAAGAGGCGUGGCUGAGAACAGGUGCCAAGGAAAUUUCCAAUCCAGGCUUCUCCCCGGGCAGACUGUUCCUAGAAUACACGUGGGCUUUUCUCACUGACAUGUCGAGCAGGGUAAACUGAGGCUCAAAGCUGGUGAUGGACUUGCUGAGGUCACCUGGCUGACCCCUGGGGAGACGCUAUGGACAUCAGCACAGUGACAGAGGUCAACACACCUGCGUCAAGGAUGGAAAGUGAGAGGAGAGAGAAUGAGGCUUCCUCACCCCGACCCGCGUGGCAUUCCCCAGGAUGAGCCCAGGGAAGACAGGAAUGAGGGGCCCACAGCCACUCAGCCUGGCAGGGCAGCAGCGGGGCCUCACCUGCAGGACGAGAAGGAGAGCUCUGACCUGGAGAGGAAGGCUCUCAUCCAUGUAGGCACACCCCUGGUCCUUCUUCCCCACGUUGGCUGGGGAGUUUUUUCCCACCAGCAUCCAAAUAAGCAUCCCAUCAGCUGUGGCUCCUCCACAGCCCCACAUGCUCCCCUGAACUCCAGGCCUGUGAGCUGCCUCCGGAUGUGAGCUGUCGCACAGAGCUCUGGACUCUGUUUACUGCACAAGGGUGGGUGGGUGGCCAAGGGGACCCACGGGGCUGAGGUCCAGCUGUGCUCUGCUCACCCAGCCGUGUGCCCUGGCAGGAGGCCACCUUUGCCUGAAGGAAAGGAUGCCCUUCCCUUCUCUGCACAAAGGCACCGUAUGGGCUGGUGGAGGCCUUGCAUUUAUAUCAGCCUCCUGAUAGUUCCACUAGGUACCUGACAGGCCUCUCAAAUGUUGCAGGAUCAAGACUUGAGCCCUUGAUGUCUGCCCCUUCAACCUGCUCCACUCUGGACUUCUUCUUUUCAAUGACUGGCAGCUCCAUUCACCCAGUUACUCACCCAAAACACUGGACUCUUCUCCUCUUGUUGCCCCUCACAUGCAAACCAGUGGCAAUUCUAUCAGCUGCACCUUCAAGCUGGCCAGCUCUCCUGUCCUCCAUAGCUCCGUCCAGGAGAAAGGCCACUGUCUUUGCCUAGACUGGUCUGUCAUUUCACUGCCCCGCCUCAAACCCUCUGGGCGAUUCCCCACAUUCUUAGAAUGCUAACAUCCAAACCUCUCACAGUGGCUGACAGAUGCCUAGAAAGUAUGCACUCCAUACUCCCAAAUCCUCAACAGAAGGGAGCUGGCCUGGGCUCAUCAUAAAGGGAUCUUGCCCAAUAGAGCUUCCUUGCAGGUGAGGGGCAGUGACAGAAAGAGUCUGGCGUAGGUCACAAAUGGCCACUGGAGGAGGUGAACGCCAUUCCAGAGAGCUGCAUCUGGAGGUUCCUAGUGGGGAGGGCAUGAGGAGGAGCUCUGAGAAACCCAUGCAAGCGCCCAGCUGAGAAAGAUCCAGAAGUUACACAUCAGUCACAGAGAAGGUCAGGAUGUUGGAUCCCAGCUGCAGCAUCAAGAAAGACCUUCUUGGGACUUCCCAGCGGUUGAGAAUCUCCCUGCCAAAGCAGAGGACACCAGUUUGAUCCCUGGUACUGGAAGAUCCCCCAUACCAUGGAGCAGCUAAGCCCUUUGCCCCAAAUGCUGAAGCCAGCAUGCCUGGAGUCCAUUCUCCGCAACAACAGAAGUCCCUGCUUGCCACUACGGAAAGCCUGCAUGCAGCAAUGAAGACUCAGCACAGC
ensembl:lncRNA